rnacentral:tRNA from 2 species
UCCCCGGUAGCUCAGUGGUAGAGCAAGUGACUGUUAAUCACUUGGUCGGAGGUUCGAAUCCUUCCCGGGGAGCCA